rnacentral:rRNA from 1 species
AGCGAACGCUGGCGGCAGGCUUAACACAUGCAAGUCGAGCGGGCACUUCGGUGUCAGCGGCAGACGGGUGAGUAACACGUGGGAACGUACACUUCGGUUCGGAAUAACGCUGGGAAACUAGCGCUAAUACCGGAUACGCCCUUAUGGGGAAAGGUUUACUGCCGUAGGAUCGGCCCGCGUCGGAUUAGCUAGUUGGUGGGGUAAUGGCCUCCCAAGGCGAGGAUCAGUAGCUGGUCUGAGAGGAUGAUCAGCCACACUGGGACUGAGACACGGCCCAGACUCCUACGGGAGGCAGGAGUGGGGAAUAGUGGACAAUGGGCGCAAGCCUGAUCCAGCCAUGCCGCGUGAGUGAUGAAGGCCUUAGGGUUGUAAUGCUCUUUUGUCCGGGACGAUAAUGACGGUACCGGAAGAAUAAGCCCCGGCUAACUUCGUG